rnacentral:rRNA from 1 species
AGCAGCCGCGGUAAUUCCAGCUCCAAUAGCGUAUAUUAAAGUUGUUGCAGUUAAAAAGCUCGUAGUUGAAUUUCGGGAUCAAUAUUUCGGUCAUGCCGUUGGUAUGCACUGUUAUCAUUGAUUUCUCACCUUCUAAAGAACCGUAAUGCCAUUAAUUUGGUGUUACGGGGAAUUAGGACUGUUACCUUGAAAAAAUUAGAGUGUUUAAAGCAGGCUCACGCUUGAAUACAUUAGCAUGGAAUAAUGAAAUAGGACAUCCGAUUCUAUUUUGUUGGUUUCUAGGAUCGAUGUAAUGAUUAAUAGGGAUAGUUGGGG